AGACUGUUUUUAGAGUGCAGUGAAAUUCUGCAGGCCAUGACCAUCUAAUUCUUUACCAGCCUGUAUUCAUUUGUUUAUUUUGGUAUAAGUUGUCAUAAUUUCUUCUAUUAGCAAAUUCUCAUGUUGUUGGACUAGUGGAUGAUCUUACAAGAGCCUUUUUGUGUCUAGGACAAACUAACAAAAAGCCUAUGACCAAUGCAUUUCAAUUCAUAUCUGUAAAAUCACUAAAUUUUGAUUCUACUAAUAUUGCCAUGUUUUUGAAAAGAUUUUUCUUAGUAGUUUUUUU
rnacentral:misc_RNA from 1 species